UUUUAUUGGAGGAAGGUGGGGAUGACGUCAAAUCAUCAUGCCCCUUAUGACCUGGGCUACACACGUGCUACAAUGGGGUUUAACAAAGAGAAGCGAAAUCGUGAGGGGGAGCAAAUCUCAAAAAAAUAGUCUCAGUUCGGAUUGUAGGCUGCAACCCGCCUACAUGAAGUUGGAAUUGCUAGUAAUCGCGGAUCAGCAUGCCGCGGUGAAUACGUUCCCGGGUCUUGUACACACCGCCCGUCACACCAUGGGAGUCGGGAACACCCG
rnacentral:rRNA from 1 species